GAUCUUCCGCCCAUCCCGUCUCCCCUGCUAAAGCCCAGAAGGUGAUGGAGAAGUCGGCUACGCUCUGGUUCCCCUGACUGAUGCGGAGGCCAGCCUGAAGAGGGACUGACUUAAGAGUGCUAGAGUGCCCUAUAUCGUCUCCUUGGGAAGUAGACCACUGCGGACUGCAAACAUAGCAGAACCCUUUUUGGAUCGGAGAAAAAAGUACCGUUCUCCGAGGACUGGACUCUGACUUCAGGGAGCAGCUCCACCCAUCAGAGGAUGCAAGGAAAAGAAGCAAGGAAACGACUUGAGGACUGAGGAAUCGAGGAAACGUGUAUAAGGCAAUUGCAACAUCCUGGCUUUGAAGCAUCAGACAUGGCAGAUGGGGAGUGGUGGAUCUCAUUGAUUUGCAUAUUUAACUAGACAGGCAAGCAUGCCUUCAGCUAACCUAAACUUAUGAAUCCCGGAAGUAAGCCUGUACUGCGUGUGUUGAAGGCAAAACAUUGGAGGGAAUAUCAGACUUUUGAAGUCAAAAUAAACGUGCUCCGUGGUAUUUUGAAACUCGAUUGACAACCAUUACGUUUCAUAUGAGAAGCAGAUUGCAAAAUAUGCAUUAUGUAAUAAAAUAUGCACAUUUUAAUGAACAUUUUCCCCAAACUUCUGGGCCAAAACAGACAUUGUUUCAGAAACUGCUGCACAUAAUAAAAUUUAUGAUCACAAAAAAUGGGCCAAUGGGGUUUUAUUUGGUUGUUAAAUCACCUUGGAUUUCUACAUUGAAUUCAAUGGGCAGCAAUCGCUUUUGCUCUCAAGCAUGCGCAGUAGAGACUGUUUCGUGUUACUUCCUAGGCUUCACCGCCUGGCCCCUCCUACCCUCUCCAGUUCCUGUAUACAUUCUAUGGGUGGAUCCAUAAGUAAAUCAUUAUACGUCACAUGUUCCGAAAAAAUACUUCUGCGAAGGAUGCACUCAGUGCACUUUCUUGAAACCUAAGCUAUAGAAUGGAACUCAAUAGCAAAUAUGAGUGAGCACCUGGGCAGUUGCUAAAGAAGGUAAUGUAAAUCUCUUCGGUCAGAACAACAGUGCAAUUGUAAGAUGAUAUGGCACACAAGUCAUGAAUUUCUUUACCUCAAGUGAGUGUAUUUUCAGAGAACUUGACACAUUAUACAGGUGGUCUACUGCAGAACUACUGCAGAAGCCAGGGCUGCGGCUAUGUGGCAACAGUUCCCAGUCACCUUGGUGUCACCUACUGCUCAGCGGUAUGGCCAAGGUUUAACACAAGGGUGGGCAAGGCUAUAAAAUACCCUUAUUUUAUCAAGCUCAGUCUUCUGCAAGACUUGGCAUUUUAGCAGAAUGCAUCAAUAAGCUCAUUAAUAAUGAGUGAAAAUAUUUUACAUUUUAUACUACUAUUUUUUCUAACACAAAUAUAAAAAGUCUUAUUGUAGUCUAAUCCAUGAGUGAACUGACUUUGGUAUAUUCAGAUACUUAGUCAGUUGAGCCAGGGAUAAUUUUUGGAAAGAAAAACAUGUAUACCAACUGGACCUCCAGGAGCUGAACUGUCCACCCCUGUUCUAAACCGAACCACAAAUAAGCUACACGCGAUCUCACGCAUCGUGACCAUUCUAUACUACCCUGUUUUGUUGUUAAAACUACAUGGGAUGCUUCCAUUGCUAGUCAUCAUGAUAUAUCUCAGUAGAAGGAUCAUAGAAACCUUUGGCAUCUUAUCACAGUUCACUAAGUUCCUCAUGUUUUGUUGCUGUCCAGUGUAGGUUUUUGGCUUGAUGCUUGUGUCUGAUUUUACUGUGUCUACUUCAGAGGGUCCCUUCUUGAUUCUGGCUGUGGAGCUGAGGCGUACCUUACAGCAAAGAGUGGCUCCUUGUUGGAAUGUUACACUAUUGAAUGGUUGAUUUUCAGCAGGUGUUGGUAAUCCCUUGUGUUCUUA